UACAGAGGGUGCGAGCGUUAAUCGGAAUUACUGGGCGUAAAGCGUGCGUAGACGGUCAUGUAAGUCGGGUGUGAAAUCCCCCAGGCUCAACCUGGGAACUGCACUCGAAACUGCGUUUCUUGAGUAUCGGAGAGGAAAGCGGAAUUCCUGGUGUAGAGGUGAAAUUCGUAGAUAUCAGGAGGAACACCAGUGGCGAAGGCGGCUUUCUGGACGGUAACUGACGCUGAGGCGGCGAAAAG
rnacentral:rRNA from 1 species